AUUGCAGAAUUCAGGUGAAUCAUCGAAUCUUUGAACGCAUCUUGCGCUCCUUGGUAUUCCGAGGAGCAUGCCUGUUUGAGUGUCAUU
rnacentral:rRNA from 1 species